AAAAAGUUAAUAUAAUACUUGGUAGUAAACAAGUCAUAAUAAAUAAAGUAUACAAUUAUAAUAAACUAGAAUGUGAUAUCUUAUUAGGAAAUGACUUUAUCCAACAAUUUCAAUAUUAUAAACAAAAUAAUUAUAUGAUAAUGUUACAAACACCUUGUGCACAUCUAUUAAAAAUACCAAGAGAAUUUAGACCCUACAGAGUUCAGCCAGCCCAGCGUGGUGAUAAAUGGGAAAAAAGACCAAUAGUACAAGAUGAAUUAAAAAAUAAAAAACUAUCAUAUAAAAAGAUCCUAAAAACAGAAAUAGAGAUAAAUAUGGAAAAAAUCAUAGAACAAUUAGAAAGAAUUUAUGGAGAAAACCCAUUAUUAUUUUGGAAACCAUACCAUCCUAAAGCUAAGAUAGAAUUAACAGAAAAUGUUAUAAUAAGAGUUAGACCAAUGAUGUAUACCUUACAGGAUAUGCAAGAAUUUAAAACUCAGAUA
rnacentral:lncRNA from 1 species